UAGGCAUCUGUUUUUUUCGAGGACGGUCUGUUCGUAUUUGUUACUCCACUUUCUGGUAUGAAUUUUACUAUAUCUGUUGUUACAUUCUGCAUCAAUGCCAAUGCUUCAAGUUUUCCGAGUGCCAAAAUGUUGUAGAUAGAAUUGAUUUCUGAAGUCGUGUGGAGUGGGGCGAUCUAUUGAUUAAGGGGGUUCAAGCUCAUUGAUGUUUUGCUGGUUCUUGUCAGAAGAGAUGAUAGAUGAUUGCAACUGUCUCCAAGGUAAUUGCAGAAGAGUCAAAAGCUAGUCCAAUGAAAUGUUGUUUUGAUCUAAGCUCAUCAGGAGGAGGGAAAGCCUUUUCCAUGUUCUGCUAAAAGAAUUGUCUAUGAAAUCUGGUUCACUUUCCCUAAAGAGACAAGGCUAUCAUUAAGGUAUUAAAGAUCAGGAGAGGCAUGUGAACUUUUGGCUAUGGACUUCUUCGUUGAGUACAGUAGAUCCAUUCAAAGAGGCUCCUCUCAUUAAUGAGUGUUCUGUAUCAAGGCAUGUAUUGAACUCUCUUCUUAGGAGGAUUACUCUUACAGUGUAGUUUGUGUUAUAAGAAUCAAAUGUGUAGCAUUCAAUUGGACAUUUAAUUUUUAAUGAACACAUACAACUGUCAUUAAUAGAGUCAAUUACAUGAAGCUUUUCCAACUUUUUGUUAUAUUUACUUGUAAUCAACUCUGAUGUGGGCCACAGAUGCUCCAUGCCUUUCGCUAUUCAUUCCCAAUUAUGUCGUACUAGGUAUGAAUGUAGACAGAUUGGUCUCUGUAGACAUUACCUUCAAACUUUAACUGUUGUUUAUUAU